AGAGUUUGAUCCUGGCUCAGGAUGAACGCUAGCGGCAGGCUUAAUACAUGCAAGUCGAGGGGCAUCGCGUUAUAGCAAUAUGAUGGCGGCGACCGGCAAACGGGUGCGGAACACGUACACAACCUUCCUUUGAUCGGGAGAUAACCCGGAGAAAUUCGGACUAAUACCCCAUAGUAAAGCUGAUCGGCAUCGAUUGGUUU
rnacentral:rRNA from 1 species